CCCAACUGCUGAGAGUGCUGUUCCUUGAAGCCGCAGUGUAUUUUGAAACGAGCUUCAGAGAUCCAGCGGCUCCAAAAGCAGGCACAAGGCUGCCAGUGUUCCAGUGUUCAGCCUGGGGCUUGGCACUCACCCUGACCAGAGGGGUCCAGCCAAUGGCGGCACUCGCUGUUUGCGUGUGCGGGAAAGAAAGAAUGAGAGUUUGUGAAGAGAGGAUACUCUGCUGUGGCGUUGCCAAGUUGAGCAUCUACAUUUGGGUUUGGCUGUUCCCUCCUCCCGUCUGCUCGGUCGCCCCAGAAACCACAGGAAAGGGAAGCCGGAACCCUCCGAAAGCUCCGAAAAUAUUGUCCUGGGUAAAAAUGGCCACUUGAAUGGCAACAUUCAGCCCCCAUCCACUACAAACAAAAGGACUUUGACAGAGGGAGAAAGAUGUGCAGUUUCAUUUUUGUUUCUGCUUUUCUAGCUACAGUUACACUUCCAUUUUCUCUUUCAUUUGACAGUUUAAUGUGAAUACAGUAUAUGAAUCAUAUACUGUAUCUACUGCAAAUACACUUUUUUUUAAUACGUU